CAAAACCAAAGCUGGCGACCGGCGCACGGUGAGUAACACGUAUCCAACCUGCCUCAUACUCGGGGAUAGCCUUUCGAAAGAAAGAUUAAUAUCCGAUAGCAUAUAUUUCCCGCAUGGGUUUUAUAUUAAAGAAAUUCGGUAUGAGAUGGGGAUGCGUUCCAUUAGUUUGUUGGGGGGUAACGGCCCACCAAGACUACGAUGGAUAGGGGUUCUGAGAGGAAGGUCCCCCACAUUGGAACUGAGACACGGUCCAA
rnacentral:rRNA from 1 species